UACAGAGGUCUCAAGCGUUGUUCGGAUUCAUUGGGCGUAAAGGGUGCGUAGGUGGCGCUGUAAGUGGGGUGUGAAAUCCCGGGGCUUAACUCCGGAACUGCAUUCCAUACUGCGGUGCUUGAGGACUGGAGAGGAGACUGGAAUUUACGGUGUAGCAGUGAAAUGCGUAGAGAUCGUAAGGAAGACCAGUGGCGAAGGCGGGUCUCUGGACAGUUCCUGACACUGAGGCACGAAGGCCAGGGGAGCAAACGGG
rnacentral:rRNA from 1 species